AUCGCUUUCAUACAUUUAAUGUAUCAUUUGAUUUCAGGCAAAGGUGGGAAUAGAAGUGCAGACGCAUAUACCAAAAUCCACCAUGACAGACGAAUAUGCUGCCAACUACAGUUUUAGAUUUAAAACUCCUUUCUACAUCUGAUGGAAACCAUUUUCAGACCAAGAGCAGAGAGACUACGCCUCAUGAAGCUCAAAUCGAGGACGAUAGCAGUUCAAAGUAAAAAUAUAUAAUUAGUUAUAAAUUGAAAGUUCAAUUUUUGUAAUAUUUAAUAAAAAUCAUUGCAUUUUAUUGAAAA